AUUGAACGCUGGCGGAAUGCUUUACACAUGCAAGUCGAGCGGCAGCGCGGGGGCAACCCUGGCGGCGAGCGGCGAACGGGUGAGUAACAUAUCGGAACGUACCCCGUCGUGGGGGAUAACACAGCGAAAGCUGUGCUAAUACCGCAUACGACCUGAGGGUGAAAGCGGGGGAUCGCAAGACCUCGCGCGAUGGGAGCGGCCGAUAUCGGAUUAGCUUGUUGGUGAGGUAAAGGCUCACCAAGGCGACGAUCCGUAGCUGGUCUGAGAGGACGACCAGCCACACUGGAACUGAGACACGGUCCAGACUCCUACGGGAGGCAGCAGUGGGGAAUUUUGGACAAUGGGGGCAACCCUGAUCCAGCCAUUCCGCGUGAGUGAAGAAGGCCUGGUUGUAAGACGUCUUCUAGCAGGACGAAACGGU
rnacentral:rRNA from 1 species